AUGUGUUAGCGAUUGCAGCGGCAUCCUUUUCUUUUUUUUCAACAAAAAGAAAAGAUAUAGCGUAAAGCGCGACGGUUU
rnacentral:sRNA from 1 species